UAUAAUGGGCUUUCUAUUGCAAUCCUAAAUAGCAAGUGUCAACCUGAUUUUUCAAGUUCUCAGGAACCUUUCAGCAGUCAUGUGGAUUCUAGGGAAAGCAGUGCUGCCUGGCUGACUGAAACAUCAUGUUUUAUUCUCACUCUUUGUUUUCUUCCUUUUAGGUCUGCUGUGCCUCUGUUAAUGGCAGGGCAGCCCAAGCAGGAAGAGCGGACCUUUGAUGGCUGGCAAAGUUGCAGCACUGGGAGGACUUUUAAUUGGGGCGACGGAAUACAGUCAUGUGCCACCUAACGAUGUUACGUAUGAUGAUAUGUGCCGUAUAGCCUAGGUGUGUAGUUAGGCUAUACCAUCUAGCUUUGUGUAAGUAAACUCUUUGAUAUCUGCAAAAUGGCAAAACAGCCUAACGAUGUAUUUCUCAGUAUCCCUGUCAUUCUGCGGUGCAUGAUGGUAUUAGGUUAGUAGUCCUUUGUACAAGAGAACUGCAUUCAAAUCACCUCUAGGGCAGUUUAAGGCAAAGGGCAUUGUGUAUAGAUUCAGAAGAGCUACGUUUGAACAAGAUUGCCUUAUUUAUUUGCUGUGUUAACCUAGGCUAAUCACUAACCUUUCUAUCUCUGAUUUCUCAUCUGUAAAGUGGGGAUAAAAAUAUGUAUCUUAAAGGGUUAUUAUCAACAGUAAUGGAAUAGUGCAUUUAAAAAGAUCUAGCCUACUGUCUUUGGUGUAAAGGGCGUUCAGGAAGCAUUUCUUCUCUUGCCUUGCCUGCUUUCUUUCCCCUCAGCACUCCAUGACCUAAAACCUCUUGCUACUCAAAGGCUUUUGAGCAGCCACUUUUACACAGAAUCCUGCAUUGUCUCUAAAAGUCUAAUUCACAUUGCAAACCCAAAUUCUGCUUAAUUGCUUCCUUCCCACCAUUGCUCUUGGUAAGCGCUAUAUAACUCAGUUUGAAGUUUAACCCUAUUUGCCCCUUGUCAAGGAGACUGUGCUGGGGGGUAAGCUGUUUCUGAAGAAUUGUGCAAUUUAGGAAAAUUAAGUUUCAGGCUAGCCAUGUGGCUCUGACAGCUUAUACUGCUCAGUACUUAGCAAUAAUGGAGAAAAUGCCAGUAAAAAUGACAAAACGGCAGAGCCCUGACCCACCAGGUAAUUGUAUAUUGAAUAUGUCUUGGCUCAAACUAGGGAUGAUUAUGCUUAAAUGAACUGAGGGCAAAAACUGCUCGUUGUAAGUCAUAUAAAACAAGAC
rnacentral:lncRNA from 1 species